GAUGAACGCUAGCGGCAGGCCUAAUACAUGCAAGUCGAACGGUAACAUGAGUAGCAAUACUUGAUGACGAGUGGCGCACGGGUGCGUAACGCGUAUGCAAUCUACCUUUAACCGGUGAAUAGCCCGAAGAAAUUCGGAUUAAUACACCAUAGUAUAAUGAGCUGGCAUCAGUUUAUUAUUAAAGCUCCGGCAGUUAAAGAUGAGCAUGCGUGACAUUAGCUAGUUGGUGAGGUAACGGCUCACCAAGGCGACGAUGUCUAGGGGAUCUGAGAGGAUUAACCCCCACACUGGUACUGGGCCACGAACCAGACUCCUACGGGAGGCAGCAGUAAGGAAUAUUGGACAAUGGUGGCAACACUGAUCCAGCCAUGCCGCGUGCAGGAUGACUGCCCUAUGGGUUGUAAACUGCUUUUGUACGGGAAAAAACCUCUUUACGUGUAAAGAGCUGAUUGUACUGUAAGAAUAAGGAUCGGCUAACUCCGUGCCAGCAGCCGCCGUAA
rnacentral:rRNA from 1 species